GCGAACAAGUACCGUGAGGGAAAGGUGAAAAGCACCCCGAUGAGGGGAGUGAAACAGUACCUGAAACCGAAUGCUUACAAUCAGUUGGAGGGUCCUUGAGGCCUGACAGCGUACCUCUUGUAUAAUGGGUCAGUGACUUAAUCUAUCAAGCGAGCUUAAGCCGUUAGGUGUAGGCGCAGCGAAAGCGAGUCUGAACAGGGCGACUGAGUUUGAUGGAUUAGACCCGAAACCCGGCGAUCUAGGCAUGACCAGGCUGAAGGUGCGGUAACACGCACUGGAGGGCCGAACCGUUUAAUGUUGAAAAAUUAUCGGAUGAGUUGUGUUUAGGGGUGAAAGGCCAAUCAAGCCGGGAAAUAGCUGGUUCUCCGCGAAAUCUAUUUAGGUAGAGCGUCGGAUGUUUACCUGUGGGGGUAGAGCACUGGAUGGGCUAGGGGGUCGCGAGAUCUACCAAACCUAACCAAACUCCGAAUACCACAGAGUUAGUCCGGCAGACAGACGGCGGGUGCUAAGGUCCGUCGUCAAAAGGGAAACAGCCCUAACCUACAGCUAAGGUCCCCAAAUCGUAUCUAAGUGGGAAAGCAUGUGGGAUUUCCAAAACAACCAGGAGGUUGGCUUAGAAGCAGCCAUCCUUUAAAGAAAGCGUAACAGCUCACUGGUCUAAAUAAGAGAUCCUGCGGCGAAAAUGUAACGGGGCUCAAGAUACGUACCGAAGCUUAGGGUGUGCAUUUAUGCACGCGGUAGCGGAGCGUUCCGUAAGCCUGUGAAGCGGGAGGGUAACCGACCGUGGAGGUAUCGGAAGUGAGAAUGCUGACAUGAGUAGCGAUAAAGAGGGUGAGAUGCCCUCUCGCCGAAAUCCCAAGGGUUCCUGCUUAAAGCUAAUCUGAGCAGGGUGAGCCGGCCCCUAAGACGAGCCCGAAGGGGGUAGUCGAUGGGAACCACGUUAAUAUUCGUGGGCCUGGAGGUGUGUGACGGAUGGCGUAAGUUGUCAGGCCUUAUUGGAUUGGUCUGGCUUCGAAGUUGUCCCAGGAAAUAGCCCCUCCGUAUAGACCGUACCCUAAACCGACACAGGUGGGAUGGUAGAGUAUACCAAGGCGCUUGAGAGAAGUGUACUGAAGGAACUCGGCAAAUUACCUCCGUAACUUCGGGAGAAGGAGGCCCCACAUAUGGGCAACCAUGUGUGGGGGGCACAAGCCAGGGGGUAGCGACUGUUUAGCAAAAACACAGGACUCUGCUAAGUCGGCUUCAAGACGACGUAUAGGGUCUGACGCCUGCCCGGUGCUGGAAGGUUAAGAGGAGGAGUGCAAGCUCUGAAUUGAAGCCCCAGUAAACGGCGGCCGUAACUAUAACGGUCCUAAGGUAGCGAAAUUCCUUGUCGGGUAAGUUCCGACCCGCACGAAAGGCGUAACGAUUUGGGUACUGUCUCGGAGAGAGACUCGGCGAAAUAGACUUGUCUGUGAAGAUGCGGACUACCUGCACCUGGACAGAAAGACCCUAUGAAGCUUUACUGUAACUUGGAAUUGGGUUUGAGCUUUUCUUGCGCAGCAUAGGUGGGAAGCUAAGAAAAUAGGUUUGCGGAUCUAUUUGAGCUAUCAGUGAGAUACCACUCUGGAAAAGCUAGAAUUCUAACCUUGAAAGCCGUUAUCCGGCCAAGGGACAGUUUCAGGUGGGCAGUUUGACUGGGGCGGUCGCCUCCUAAAAAGUAACGGAGGCGUGCAAAGGUUCCCUCAGGCUGGUUGGAAAUCAGUCGUAGAGUGUAAAGGCAUAAGGGAGCUUGACUGCAAGACCUACAAGUCGAGCAGAGACGAAAGUCGGCCUUAGUGAUCCGACAGUGCCGAGUGGAAGGGCUGUCGCUCAACGGAUAAAAGUUA
rnacentral:rRNA from 1 species